GAGUUUGAUCAUGGCUCAGAUUGAACGCUGGCGGCAUGCCUUACACAUGCAAGUCGAACGGCAGCAUGAUCUAGCUUGCUAGAUUGAUGGCGAGUGGCGAACGGGUGAGUAAUACAUCGGAACGUGCCCUGUAGUGGGGGAUAACUAGUCGAAAGAUUAGCUAAUACCGCAUACGACCUGAGGGUGAAAGUGGGGGACCGCAAGGCCUCAUGCUAUAGGAGCGGCCGAUGUCUGAUUAGCUAGUUGGUGGGGUAAAGGCCCACCAAGGCGACGAUCAGUAGCUGGUCUGAGAGGACGAUCAGCCACACUGGGACUGAGACACGGCCCAGACUCCUACGGGAGGCAGCAGUGGGGAAUUUUGGACAAUGGGCGAAAGCCUGAUCCAGCAAUGCCGCGUGUGUGAAGAAGGCCUUCGGGUUGUAAAGCACUUUUGUCCGGAAAGAAAUGGCUCUGGUUAAUACCUGGGGUCGAUGACGUACCGAARAUUAGG
rnacentral:rRNA from 1 species